GACGAACGCUGGCGGCGUGCUUAACACAUGCCAGUCGAACGGAAAGGCCCUGCUUUUGUGGGGUGCUCGAGUGGCGAACGGGUGAGUAACACGUGAGUAACCUGCCCUUGACUUUGGGAUAACUUCAGGAAACUGGGGCUAAUACCGGAUAGGAGCUCCUGCUGCAUGGUGGGGGUUGGAAAGUUUCGGCGGUUGGGGAUGGACUCGCGGCUUAUCAGCUUGUUGGUGGGGUAGUGGCUUACCAAGGCUUUGACGGGUAGCCGGCCUGAGAGGGUGACCGGCCACAUUGGGACUGAGAUACGGCCCAGACUCCUACGGGAGGCAGCAGUGGGGAAUAUUGCAGAAUGGGCGGAAGCCUGAUGCAGCAACGCCGCGUGCGGGAUGACGGGCUUCGGGUUGUAAACCGCUUUCGCCUGUGACGAAGCGUGAGUGACGGUAAUGGGUAAAGAAGCACCGGCUAACUACGUG
rnacentral:rRNA from 1 species